UUUGCUCUAUUGGUAAAAGCAGAUCCUUAUCAUUCUGAAAGAAAUGGGCUAUAUAUUGGCAAAGGAAAAGCAAUGUUGUCAAGGUCUAGAAUCUUCCGUGUGCAGCAAGGGGUUGUUGUGGAUAUGUGUGAAAGAGUAUUCAAACUCCCUUCAUUUUAUGUCUUCCUUGGCAGGGAUUAAAAGCAGGUACGAAAAAACAGAAAUACGACAAGAUCAGUGAAAAGAAGAUGCUUACUCCCAUUGAGCAACCAAGUGGGAAACCAGUUCUAAAUCACAGGCCAUCUGCAAAGAGAAUAGAGAGACCUUCCGGUUUGUUCUUUUUUUUUU